rnacentral:rRNA from 1 species
AGAGUUGAUCCUGGCUUAGGACGAACGCUGGCGGCGUGCUUAACACAUGCAAGUCGAACGAAGUAGCAAUACUAGUGGCGAACGGGUGAGUAACGCGUGAGCAACCUGCCCUAUACAGCGGGAUAACACAGGGAAACUUGUGCUAAUACCGCAUAAGACCACAGUCGGGCAUCCGACGAAGGGGUAAAAGAAUUUCGGUAUAGGGAGGGGCUCGCGUCCCAUUAGAUAGUUGGUAGGGUAACGGCCUACCAAGUCUGCGAUGGGUAGCCGACCUGAGAGGGUGAUCGGCCACACUGGAACUGAGAUACGGUCCAGACUCCUACGGGAGGCAGCAGUGGGGAAUAUUGGGCAAUGGAGGACCAACUCUGACCCAGCAACGCCGCGUGAAUGAUGAAGGUCUUCGGAUUGUAAAGUUCUUUAAUUGGGGACGAAUAAAUGACGGUACCCAAAGAAUAAGCCACGACUAACUACGUGCCAGCCGCCGC